UUAAGUUAUUAAGGGCGCACGGUGGAUGCCUUGGCACUAGAAGCCGAUGAAGGACGUUACUAACGACGAUAUGCUUUGGGGAGCUGUAAGUAAGCUUUGAUCCAGAGAUUUCCGAAUGGGGAAACCCAGCAUGAGUUAUGUCAUGUUAUCGAUAUGUGAAUACAUAGCAUAUCAGAAGGCACACCCGGAGAACUGAAACAUCUUAGUACCCGGAGGAAGAGAAAGAAAAUUCGAUUCCCUUAGUAGCGGCGAGCGAAACGGGAAGAGCCCAAACCAAAAAGCUUGCUUGUUGGGGUUGUAGGACACUCUAUACGGAGUUACAAAGGACGACAUUAGACGAAUCAUCUGGAAAGAUGAAUCAAAGAAGGUAAUAAUCCUGUAGUCGAAAAUGUUGUCUCUCUUGAGUGGAUCCUGAGUACGACGGAGCACGUGAAAUUCCGUCGGAAUCUGGGAGGACCAUCUCCUAAGGCUAAAUACUCUCUAGUGACCGAUAGUGAACCAGUACCGUGAGGGAAAGGUGAAAAGCACCCCGGAAGGGGAGUGAAAUAGAACCUGAAACCGUGUGCUUACAAGUAGUCAGAGCCCGUUAAUGGGUGAUGGCGUGCCUUUUGUAGAAUGAACCGGCGAGUUACGAUUUGAUGCAAGGUUAAGCAGUAAAUGUGGAGCCGUAGCGAAAGCGAGUCUGAAUAGGGCGUUUAGUAUUUGGUCGUAGACCCGAAACCAGGUGAUCUACCCUUGGUCAGGUUGAAGUUCAGGUAACACUGAAUGGAGGACCGAACCGACUUACGUUGAAAAGUGAGCGGAUGAACUGAGGGUAGCGGAGAAAUUCCAAUCGAACCUGGAGAUAGCUGGUUCUCUCCGAAAUAGCUUUAGGGCUAGCCUCAAGUGAUGAUUAUUGGAGGUAGAGCACUGUUUGGACGAGGGGCCCCUCUCGGGUUACCGAAUUCAGACAAACUCCGAAUGCCAAUUAAUUUAACUUGGGAGUCAGAACAUGGGUGAUAAGGUCCGUGUUCGAAAGGGAAACAGCCCAGACCACCAGCUAAGGUCCCAAAAUAUAUGUUAAGUGGAAAAGGAUGUGGCGUUGCCCAGACAACUAGGAUGUUGGCUUAGAAGCAGCCAUCAUUUAAAGAGUGCGUAAUAGCUCACUAGUCGAGUGACACUGCGCCGAAAAUGUACCGGGGCUAAACAUAUUACCGAAGCUGUGGAUUGUCCUUUGGACAAUGGUAGGAGAGCGUUCUAAGGGCGUUGAAGCAUGAUCGUAAGGACAUGUGGAGCGCUUAGAAGUGAGAAUGCCGGUGUGAGUAGCGAAAGACGGGUGAGAAUCCCGUCCACCGAUUGACUAAGGUUUCCAGAGGAAGGCUCGUCCGCUCUGGGUUAGUCGGGUCCUAAGCUGAUGCCGACAGGCGUAGGCGAUGGAUAACAGGUUGAUAUUCCUGUACCACCUAUAAUCGUUUUAAUCGAUGGGGGGACGCAGUAGGAUAGGCGAAGCGUGCGAUUGGAUUGCACGUCUAAGCAGUAAGGCUGAGUAUUAGGCAAAUCCGGUACUCGUUAAGGCUGAGCUGUGAUGGGGAGAAGACAUUGAGUCUUCGAGUCGUUGAUUUCACACUGCCGAGAAAAGCCUCUAGAUAGAAAAUAGGUGCCCGUACCGCAAACCGACACAGGUAGUCAAGAUGAGAAUUCUAAGGUGAGCGAGCGAACUCUCGUUAAGGAACUCGGCAAAAUGACCCCGUAACUUCGGGAGAAGGGGUGCUCUUUAGGGUUAACGCCCAGAAGAGCCGCAGUGAAUAGGCCCAAGCGACUGUUUAUCAAAAACACAGGUCUCUGCUAAACCGUAAGGUGAUGUAUAGGGGCUGACGCCUGCCCGGUGCUGGAAGGUUAAGAGGAGUGGUUAGCUUCUGCGAAGCUACGAAUCGAAGCCCCAGUAAACGGCGGCCGUAACUAUAACGGUCCUAAGGUAGCGAAAUUCCUUGUCGGGUAAGUUCCGACCCGCACGAAAGGCGUAACGAUUUGGGCACUGUCUCAACGAGAGACUCGGUGAAAUCAUAGUACCUGUGAAGAUGCAGGUUACCCGCGACAGGACGGAAAGACCCCGUGGAGCUUUACUGUAGCCUGAUAUUGAAAUUCGGCACAGCUUGUACAGGAUAGGUAGGAGCCUUUGAAACGUGAGCGCUAGCUUACGUGGAGGCGCUGGUGGGAUACUACCCUAGCUGUGUUGGCUUUCUAACCCGCACCACUUAUCGUGGUGGGAGACAGUGUCAAGCGGGCAGUUUGACUGGGGCGGUCGCCUCCUAAAAGGUAACGGAGGCGCUCAAAGGUUCCCUCAGAAUGGUUGGAAAUCAUUCAUAGAGUGUAAAGGCAUAAGGGAGCUUGACUGCGAGACCUACAAGUCGAGCAGGGUCGAAAGACGGACUUAGUGAUCCGGUGGUUCCGCAUGGAAGGGCCAUCGCUCAACGGAUAAAAGCUACCCCGGGGAUAACAGGCUUAUCUCCCCCAAGAGUUCACAUCGACGGGGAGGUUUGGCACCUCGAUGUCGGCUCAUCGCAUCCUGGGGCUGUAGUCGGUCCCAAGGGUUGGGCUGUUCGCCCAUUAAAGCGGUACGCGAGCUGGGUUCAGAACGUCGUGAGACAGUUCGGUCCCUAUCCGUCGUGGGCGUAGGAAAUUUGAGAGGAGCUGUCCUUAGUACGAGAGGACCGGGAUGGACAUACCUCUGGUGUACCAGUUGUCGUGCCAACGGCAUAGCUGGGUAGCUAUGUGUGGACGGGAUAAGUGCUGAAAGCAUCUAAGCAUGAAGCCCCCCUCAAGAUGAGAUUUCCCAACUUCGGUUAUAAGAUCCCUCAAAGAUGAUGAGGUUAAUAGGUUCGAGGUGGAAGCAUGGUGACAUGUGGAGCUGACGAAUACUAAUCGAUCGAAGACUUAAUCAA
rnacentral:rRNA from 1 species